GUGAAAUUGGUAGACACGCUGCUCAGUGCUAAGCAUCUCGGUUCGAGUCCGAGUGGCGGCA
rnacentral:tRNA from 1 species